UGAUGACAAAUCUCCGGAAUCUCUGCAACUCUGUGAUGAUUCCUUUGAACCCUUUAGUCUGAUGGCAUUAAGAGUUUUGUC